AUCGGAGUGGUGAAAUGGCAGACACGUUAGGUUUAGGUUCUAAUUCAUAACUUGAGUAGGGGUUCAAGUCCCCUCUUCGAUA
rnacentral:tRNA from 1 species